CGUAAUCAGUUUGAAGAUUCAGCAAGCGCAAAAGUUGCUGUGUGUCCGUGCGCUCUCGUCUUUACGCCCGCGGCGCACUCAGAGCGGCGCAGUAGCGCUACACGGGUAUAUAUCAGCGAGCGGAUUGUCUCCAAAGCUUACAUCUGAAUCUCUCCAUCAAAGAACGUCGACUUUAGAAGAGUUUUUGUGGUUUUUGAUCGUGUUUUGGAGGCCGUGAUGAGAAGCAGCGGCGAAGAGCAGCAGAAAGACCCGGAGAGAUGCAUGCAGCCAGGGAUAGCAUUAGCACUGACUUUGGUGUCCAGUUGGUCAAAGAACAAACCUUUUUAGUGACAGCCUUGAGUGUCUUCCUACACUGUAAAUACUGUAAAUAGUUGCUUUUAGUUUUUCAGUAACUUGAUAUUCAAAAUAAUUAGCAGAGAAAAAAAAUGUACAAUUACAAAAUGUAAAAUAAAUAAAUAAAUUGUAUUUUGCAUGUUUUGUGUUCAUUCACAGUAAAAUGAUCACUGAUCAAAUCUGUUUUCAUUAUUAGAAUUGUUCAAAAUAAAUAGUUUAGUUAAAAUGUUUAAAUGUUGUUCUGAAAUAGUUUUGUGUUUGUUUGUGGUUUCAUGGGUAGAUGAGUUCUGAGUUGAUAUACAUAUGUAGUGUAUGUAGUAUGCAGUGUCAUAUGCAGAGUCUCUAAAUAGCCUUUUUGAAAGUAUUCCUAGACUUUUCUUGAAAUAAAAGAUCUAAAUGACUUUUCCAAAGCUUUUCUUUAAAUAAAAUACCAUAAAGAUGUACUUUCUGCAAGUUUUUACCUAAAAAAUGUUUUAUUUCAGCUUUUAUUUCAGGAAAAGUUAAGGCGUCCUUUCAAAAAUGCCCAAAUUUUUGCCCAAAAAUGACCAAAUGAGUCAGGAAUAGUUUUUUUCUUGUGUAUUAUGGUUGGCAGAGCAGUUCUGAACUGAUAUACAUAUAUGUAUUAUGCAGUUUUGCCUCAUUUGGUCAUUUGGUUACCAGGUGUACAUUUGGAGUCUCCAAAUGGCUUUUUUGAAAGGACGCCUAGACUUUUUUAAAAAUAAAAGCUUACAGAAACUACAUUUUUGGGAGUAUCAUCUUCAAAUUUGAAUCAAAAUAUGUUCAGACAUUCAGCUUUAUGUUUAUGGCAUUUUAAGGCCUUUGGCAAAUAAGUCACUAUCAUUUUUCCCUUAGUGAAUUUCAUUCAAAG
ensembl:lncRNA